UUCAUCUGUUUUCUUCUCUCCUCUCGAUCUCUCAUCUUAAUCUCUCCAUAGCUUCUCUCAAACUCUGGACGAAAUAGGUAAAACCAAGCUCAAUCUAUCAUCACUUGUGUCUUCUUCUUUAUCUACAUUGUUUAUCUCUCAAUCUCUCAUCACUUGGUCUUCUUCUUCUUUGUCCCUACAUGAACAUGAAGUUUGGGUGGAAGAAGACAAAAACGAAGUUCAUGGCUUGGAGGGGAGGAAAACGACGACAGUGAAGCGCAGGAGCUGUGGCGAAGGAGGCGCUGAAGCGGAGGUGGAGGCGCUGAAGCGGAGGUGGAGGCGCGGCAGACUCGUCUCGGUCAAGCUCUCUGUUGGCUUCACCUACUCACCACCAUCACAGAUCUGAGAAGCAGCAGUGAUGAAACAGGAAAGAGAAGCAGUGGUGUGACAGAGAGUGUCUCCGGUUAAGGGUGGUGCGUUGGUGGUGCAAAAGCCGUUGUGGUGUGCAGCGAUGGUGGUGUGACAGAGCGGCGCUGUGAGAUCCGGUUAGGCCGAGGAGGCGGCUUGAAGCUUGAAGAUUAGGUUUAGUAUUUUUUAUGGUUUUACUUCUUCUUCUUUUUUUAGUUCUGGUUUAGUUGUCAACCGGAUUUAAUUGUAAACCAAACUUUUAUUAGUAAACCAAUUCAAUUAUUUUGUAAAAAAAAAAAUCAAUGUAUUAUAUAUUUCCAUUGUA